rnacentral:rRNA from 1 species
AUGGAGAUCAAGGAGCACUACUUUGAGUUUCUGCAGGGAGAACAUGAUAAGAGACGCACAUCUGAAAAGAUUGCUGAUGAUCAGUUAUUUGCUUCUGCGCCAUUUGACAGGCCAAGCAAUGGGCUUCGGAAUAUGGAACAACCAAAAAAAUACCCAAAUAUGUCAACACUCGUGUUACAGAGGUGUUCCCAGUUAAAAAAUCCAGAAACAUUGGAGAGGAAAACUAUAAGCUCGCCUGACUCCUCUACCCAGCAAGAGAAGAUGAAGGAGAAAUUGUGCAGCCUCCAUCCCUGUCCAACGUGUUGUGCGUUGCAGGAGGAGCGAGCGGACGCCGGAGACUGGCAACAAGCCGAGGUUGGAGCGGUGAUGGUGGCUGCAGCGGGAAAAACCGCGCCGGCAACAAGCACAAUUCCUCAUCUCUGUCUCCAACGAAAAGGAUCAUCUGGGCCCUAUGCUACUAUUGCUUGA